UCGGAAACCCUAUUUUACAUAGUGGCCGAAACCUAUUGCUUAGGGUACCGUGUCCAAAAAUAAUUUUUGAGUCUCUAUGACCUGAGCCAUUGCGUAGCUCUUUUGAUUGUCGAAAUUUUGGCGCUGGUUUCAUGUCAUUCCGAGUUCUGUAGCUCGAGUUAUGCUCGUUUUAGCGAACGAAGUUCCGUUGUCAAUUCGUGCCUUAAGAGGAACUCUGAAGCUUUAAAAGCUUUCUUUCCGGUUUCGAUUAGCGUUAUUAGAUAGUGUUACUUCUAGUAGGGCUUGUGUUGAUGAUUGUGUUUCCUUGUUCUAGGUUCACAACUUCCAUGCCCAACUUCUACUCACGAAGGCGAUGGUGAGCCUUCCGCUGAAGCUUAGCUGUUCGAGUCGGAGACCGUGAUCGUGGGCGGUCGAGUAGAGGUGGAUGAAGCAGUUGCUUCUCCCUUUUUGGUGGACUAUGUUUGAGUUUCUUUUUCCUUAUGAAAACUCUGUUGUUUAAACCUUAUUUCGCCACUGUUAAAGUGUGCGUACUUAUUUUGGAAACUUGUUCAUGAUGAUGUAAGACACUAUUAUUAUUAUGUCGGGAACGGGUUGUUGAAUAAAGUCUAUGUUAUAUAUUCAA